GCUGGAAGAGAGUGUCGAAGAGCCCAGGAUGGGUGCCCAGGCCGGCUGCGAGGCAGGGAAAGGCAAAGGCAUAGACGCUGGGCCACGCAGCUGCAGGAAGCCGGGCGGAUGGGAGAAGCCAGAGAGGAAUUUGGAAGGAAAGGAGUGUGUGUGGAAAGCUGGCAGCGCUAGAGAACUAAGGAUCCGGAGCUUGAGCGCGCAACUGGUCCCCAGAGCCCGGACCUGGCUAUCGGAUGGGGGGUGGGGGAGGGGAAGGGGUGCGCUGAAGGUGGAGGAAUAAGUGCAAGGGCUGAAGCUAAGCAGAAAAUGGAAGGCAACCUUUCCGAGAACCAGGAUGGGUGAGGACAGUCGAGCUGAGGGAAUAGUAAUGAGAAAGCUGGAGCGGCAAAGGAGAGAAAAAUACAGAUUGAAGAGUGAGACCAUGGAAGGGUGAGAAAUACACUCUGCAAAGAAAAACGAAGAAAGUAAAAUGCAUCUGGAACUUAAAAUUCGAUGGGGCGGGGGGGGGGGGGGGGACCGAGAGAGAGNNNNNNNNNNNNNNNNNNACUGCCAAGAGAGAUAGGAAAAAAAAAAAAAGGCACCAAGCAUACCGGAAGAACAGAAAGUGAAGGAGGGGAGAAAAGAGAGGAGACAAACCAGACAAGAAAUAGACCCUAUAUGAUACCAAUGGUUAACUGCAACAGAAAAGCAUACAUCCCCGCUGAUUGGUGUGGGCUUAAAUCUGGUGAACUUUAUUUGACGCUGUCGGUUUGUAUCUGAUCUGCUUUCAGGUCCUUUUGAUGAUGCCAGAGUGCUGCAGCCAAGCUGACUCAAACCUAUGUAUUCUGGGGCUACAGGAAAGACGAAGUCAACAGGAAUAAGAUAUGCAUGCUGCUGGCAGCUUCCUGAGAUAUAAACGGAAAAUUCUUAGUCUUUCAAGGCACUAAAUCCAACCUGACUAGGCACAACUAAUGCGAAUGAGACAACCUUUGCAGACUCUGUAGCAACUAGCUAUGAAAUCUUUAAUAUUAAUAAUACCAAUAAUAGCAGUUCAUGUAUCAGUUAGUUACUUUUGCAAACAAAAUGCUCUAAGACUUAUAGGCUUAAGAACAAUUGUUUAUUCUUAGUUUCUCUAACUGCAUGUUGGUUGAACUCAGGCAGCCCUGACUUAGAAUGAGGCCCACUGGGGCUUGGCUUCUCAUCCUGGGUUGGGCUCCUGUGUGUUCAUUCUGGAGCCCAGGCAAGGGGGACAGCAGCUACGUAGGGCAAAGGCUUUUCAGAGCAAUGUCACAGGUGCCAGGGAACCCGUGUGAGAGCUCAUUUCAGAACUCUGACCAAAUCUGUUUAAGUCAUAUUCACUAGGCACUUACUAUGUGUUCAAGUAACUGAAUGCUUUACCCUUUUUCUUUCAAAUAUUUUUCACAUCAACACUAUAAAGCCAGGCC
rnacentral:lncRNA from 1 species